UUUGGUUGCAUGAUCGGGCAAGGAAAUAUUUAUAGCUGUAAGAUAGGCAUGCGUCCCAUUAGCUGGUUGGUGAGGUAACGGCUCACCAAGGCAACGAUGGGUAGGGGAACUGAGAGGUUUAUCCCCCACACUGGUACUGAGACACGGACCAGACUCCUACGGGAGGCAGCAGUGAGGAAUAUUGGUCAAUGGGCGAGAGCCUGAACCAGCCAAGUCGCGUGAAGGAAGACUGUCCUAAGGAUUGUAAACUUCUUUUAUACGGGAAUAACGGGCGAUACGUGUAUUGCUGUGAAUGUACCGUAAGAAUA
rnacentral:rRNA from 1 species